AUUACCCGCCGGUCCAAGUGGUUCCAGUCUGUCAAACCCAUCGAGACCGGAGACAUUGUAGUGAUUGUUGACCCGAAGUUACCGCGUAACUGUUGGCCGAAAGGUAGAGUCAUCGCUACGACUACUAGCCGAGACGGGCAAACGCGAUCAGCGACAGUGCAGACAUCCGUCGGAGUAUACGAGCGCCCCGUUGUGAAGCUGGCGGUCCUAGACGUUCAGCGCGUGGAGCAGUAAGCCAACCGGAAGUCGUCGUACCCUGGGGGACUGUUGGCCUACCCCAUUAGGCCAGCGCGCACACCUAUGACUGUGGGUCCUAUAUUGCUUGCAAUCCUGCAAGCAAGACGCGGCCAUGACGGAACGGAUGACAGGGAGUGACAGGCCUUCGGCCUGUCACCGGGUGAGUGGACAAAACAGAACAAACAAAAGGAAAAAUCUUUGAUAUAGCUGACGAACGAAAACGCAGUACUAAUUAUAUCCUAAAAAGCCUUAAAAAUAGUGUAAAAUUAUCUAAAAUUAAACUUAAGUCUAGUGAACUGGAAUAUUAAAUUAGUGCCUACUAUCUACAUGCUGGAUUGGUAACCUAAAUCUCGUCACGUCUCUCUUGAACUAUUACCAGAAUACGGACUGCCACUAUUUUUUGCUCUACUGAUACGAACACAAUACAAACGGGAACUAAACGAAAAUUAUAUUCUCCCUCAAACAACGGAUCAAGUGUUUGUCAUUUCCGCGUCGGAGAAUCAUAAUUACGGAAAUAUUCCCCCCGUUGGAUAUAAUCCAACA